AACGAACGCUGGCGGCGCGCCUAAUACAUGCAAGUCGAGCGAGAAGGUGUAGCAAUACACUUGUAAAGCGGCGAACGGGUGAGGAAUACAUGGGUAAUCUACCAUCGAGUGGGGAAUAACCAACCGAAAGGUUGGCUAAUACCGCGUACGCCUCCGAAUCUUCGGGUUCGGAGGGAAAGCUGCACUGUGAGUGUAGCGCUCUUUGAUGAGCUCAUGUCCUAUCAGCUUGUUGGUAGGGUAACGGCCUACCAAGGCUUUGACGGGUAGCUGGUCUGAGAGGACGAUCAGCCACACUGGCACUGCGACACGGGGCCAGACUCCUACGGGAGGCAGCAGUAAGGAAUAUUGCGCAAUGGGCGAAAGCCUGACGCAGCGACGCCGCGUGGGGGAUGAAGGUCUUCGGAUUGUAAACCCCUUUCGGGAGGGAAGAUGGAGCGAGCAAUCGUUCGGACGGUACCUCCAGAAGCAGCCACGGCCAACUUCGUGCCAGCAG
rnacentral:rRNA from 1 species